GGGUUUGUGAGGGUGAGGAGGCCCUUUUAUAGAAUAAGGACUCCUCCCCUAAUUACAUAUUUGCCCCUUCCUUUAUUACAUAAUUACAUUUAAGUCCCUCGAGUAUUUAUACGAGGUCUAAAUACGAGGCCCUAAAUAUGGUAUAAACAUACUGAAAACCAAAAGGCCACACACUGGUAUGUCGAAGAGUCGUAGCCCCCGAGUUGCCCUUGACUGCGCUCGUCCUCGGGAUAAGUUUCCCCUAUAUGCGAAACAACUAUAAAAACGUUAAUUUAAAGCACAUAACCAAUAUUAGCUAAUAAUUUCUCAUACAUUGCUCAAAUGGGAUGUUUGAAUAUACCAACGUGAUCUACACAACCUCACGAACAUCCCCAUAUUUUUAGAAAAAAUUUCCGACAUCCCACGCGCCGUUAAGGGCACGGCAACACGCGCGGCCACGGGCAGGGAUCCUAAUGGAAUCCCUUAACCCCGUUAGGAAUAUUCCGUGAAAUAUUCUGUUAAAAAGUAACAAAAACCGUUAAUUCUACUUGACGGCGUCAGAAUAUUCCGUCAACUCUGAUGGAAUAUUCUAUCUUCUUUUCCGGUUAGCCUUGCCGGUCGCCGUCGCCUUUCACCGGAAACUAGAAAAUCACGAAAACCUUCAUAUCUCGUCCAAUUCUCAACCAAAUUCCACAAAACUUGAACCAAAUUGAAGCUUAGGACAAGUAGAACAAAACCUUACAUUUCAAAAGUCCUAAAACCGACGAAACUUGCCGAAAAAUCCUUCGAUAUUCCGGCUAAACCUGCAACUCCCUAUUCCCGAGCUUCCCAACGUCCAAAUCACUUCAUUUUCUUCUCCGAGCCUCAUGAAGAUGAUCCAAAGCUCCCUAUAACUUCAAAACUCUCAGAAAACUACACAUUUACGUGUGCAUGAACAAUACCUUAAAUCGGAGGUUAUGGUUUCUCGGGUUUUACAAGCUUUCAAGUCCUAAAAAUUGUACGAAUGGACUAAGGAGCUUGUAGGGAACAAGAACAUCACCUUUUUAACGUCAAUCCGAGACUGGUUGAAGGAGUUUAAGGUUGACCGUACGGUUUG
rnacentral:lncRNA from 1 species